GUUGAUCUUGCGCAGCCAAUCACAAUACCUUGUGAGGUCACAAGUAUACAGGUCUCAUCAUGUCCAGAAGACUCUAUUUUAUCUUGGGCCUCCACAACCUCUCACGCUUAUGAUCUUCCUGCCUACUCUUCUGUGAUGGGGAUGGCAUAGGGAAUACGAUAUAGCUGUUCCAUCACAGCUCAGUGUAAGUGCCCAUGCUUACUUACCUAAGGCUACGGUCAUCUGAUAUGGCUGUGAGAAAUUAAAUCAGGCCAGUUGGAAGGGCCACAAUACUACUGAGGCUGUGACUAUUUUAUCGAGAGCAAUCAUACCUUUUAUACAUUUAUUUAUCAGAAACAGAAUAUAAUGGCAAUUGCCAGGAUCAAUACAGUUGUGGUUGCCAGGAUACAAUGACACUUGCAAGCUAUACAGAGUACAAAAGAUUAAUGUCUAAGAGCCAAUUGUUCUGUCAAGCUUCUAUGCAUCCUUGGCUACUAAGGGAAAAUACAGAAAUAUACAAAGUAGCCUGAAUGAAAGUUUCACAGCCUGAGGGGAGAGCAUCAGUUUCUCAGCAACUCGAAUGUAAAUUGUGCCCGAGGAGCCAACAUACUCUAACCUGAAAAACUAUGAUUCACAUCUCUCUAAGCAGUUAGGCCACGCCAACGCCAGAGUUCCCUGUAGCUGAGCACUCCUCAGAAACUUACUCUUUGCAUUUUGAACAGUUGUGAGGUUUGGCAUUAACCCCCAUCCACUGCACAAAGAAGCACCUUUUAUGAGGACCUAGAGCUGCAGUAAUCAAUGGGUUAAGGGGACAGGUUUAAAGAGCAAGGUGGAUACUUAUGUCCAUUUAGCAAACUAAUUGCAAUAGGCUCACUUCUCGUCUAUGCUAUAGUUAACUCAAACUGAACUGAUGCACUUCCAAUGACAUGUUUCCCUUUAGGAAGAGCCUCAUCUGAUGUCACCAAAAUGUUUAUAAUCUAGAAAAACUGGAGGACUCAAAAGGUUUUAACAUUUAUUUUUUUUGAAUUUUUAUUAGGUAUUUAUUUCAUUUACAUUUCUAAUGCUAUCCCAAAAGUCCCCCAUACCCCUUCCCCACCCACUCCCACUUCUUGGCCCUGGCGUUCCCCUGUACUGAGGCAUAUAAAGUUUGCAUGACCAAUGGGCCUCUCUUUCCAAUGAUGGCCGACUAGGCCAUCUUCUGAUACAUAUGCAGCUAGAAACACAAGCUCUGGGGGGUACUGGUUAGUUCAUAUUGUUGUUUCACCCAUAGGGUUGCAGUUCCCCCCAGCUCCUUGGGUACUUUCUCUAGCUCCUCCAUUGGGGGCCCUGUGAUCCAUCCAAUAGCUGACCGUGAGCAUCCACUUCUGUAUUUGCUAGGCCCCAGCAUAGUCUCAGAAGAUUUAAGCUAGGAAAAUUGGGCUCAGGAUGUAGCUCAGAACUCAGUGACAAAGCUAAGGGCCAGAGUGUUUGCCUAGUGGCUUGGGGCUGGAGAAUGAAUGAGAAUGAGAACCAGUCAUAAGGAUAGUACAGAGCUCUCCUGUACUUCCAACCCAGACUCUGCUACUGUUGACAAGCUACUUGAAUACACCGUGAUGAAUGAAACAAUAAUGAGACAUUUUCAGGGAAACUCUACACUGCAUUCAUAUUUUCAGUUUUUCCUAAUGUUUGUUUUUCUUUUGUUAUCUGCCCCUGAGUUCUAUCUGAGGUAAUAUGUCACACGCAAUUGUAUCUCUCCACCCCCCUAGGCUCCUCUUGGUAUGACUGAUUCUCAGACCUUGUUUUGACAACCUUGGGCACUUAGAGGAACACAAGUCUCUCAGAUCUCUGAGUAUUUAUUAAGAAUUGUACUGGGGCUAUGCAUUUUAAAGAACAAGAUUUCUCAGACCACCCUUUAUUAAUGCUAUGUCCUAGCAACUCGAUCCAUCAUUACUGAAGUUAACCUUGGUCACGUGGCUGAGGUAGUGGUCCUCAGAUUUUCACCCCUUCGUUUUGUAUUGUACUCCUUAGAAGGAAUUUUCUAUAAAUAACACACAACUCUACUCGGGAGGGACAUAUUUGCAUCUAUAUUCUUUGGAACUCAAUGGCAGAUAAGUUUAUUAUUCCUCCAUUAUUUAUUUGCUUAUUCAGUCACACAUUCAUGACAUUCUGGAUUCAUAGAUACAUCUUUAUAACAUUUUUUGUCAUUCUCCCAUACAUAUCAUUAAUUUUGUUUCUUGUAUUUCCAGAUUUAUCCUUGGAAACUCAGUUGAAUUAGUGUAUAUUUUAUUAUAGGUUUAAAACAAAUAUGAUGUGUAUUCCUAAAAGAUACCCAAAUACAUCUUAUAUUUUAGAGUAAAAUUAUUGUCUUCAAAGAAAAUUCAGGUCAGUAAAGUAUUCAAAUAGACUGAUUUUCUGUGAUUACAACAGAUUUUCGGUGUUUAUAUCAAGGCUUCUUCCAGCAUCAAGAAAGAAAUCUUUGUUUUUAUAAUUCCAAUCCUUGUUAACUUCCAUCUUGAUCCACACUGAUACCAACAAUGUUCUCAGUACCAGACUAGGGACCACACUACUGCAUACUUUGAAUAAUAAAAACCAAAGUCAAGACUGGAUCUAGAAACUUCCUGCUAUGAACAGAAGAAAAAGGGGGAAAAAAACCUUAUACUGCAAAAUUAGGACAACUCAUGGGGAUAUUAGCAAAGAUGCACACCAUGUGUGAUGUCGACAUUCUCGUGCCCGUGUUCUGAUGUCAGACUGUUGUUUCCCACCACACAGUACCAAGCCACAAUUGAGUCUGCUCUACCUGCUUAAACUAAAGGCAGAAUCUAUAAAUCUUCCACCUCAAGGAAGUAGUCUCCACUGAGCUCUUCACUUGUCCCCACAGAGACACAUUUAUCUCGAGGAACAGAAAGUAAAGUUUACCAUGUUAGUGUAAAAUCCAAUGUGUUUUGACAGAUACUCUCAGAUGUAUAAAUAGCCCAUUUCUUUCAUUCCAAUUUUUUUCUGGUUUCCUUUGUAAUUACUGCCUUUCCCACUGACAACCCUUGGCAACCAAGGACCUGAUCUUUGUCUUUGCCUUUCCUGGCGACCAUGCAGAUGGACCCAUAUGGUGUGCUGCCUUUUGUGUCUGGCUCCUUUCACUUAGUCUAAUUCUUAAAGAUCCAACCUUAUCAACACUUGCAUUAUAAUGAACUUCUUUUGUGCAAAGGAUAGUCCAUUUUAUUUCUUUAUCCAUUUAGCUUUUGAUAGACAUUUAGAUUGUUUCUGACCUUAGCAGAUGCAUGAACUCAGGCAUGUUUAUAUGGGCACACUUUCCCUCCUAACUCCAGUAAAUACUUAGGGGUUCAAUUGCCAUGCCAUUUUUAUUUAACUUUGUAAGAAAUUACCACUUUAUUUUUCACAGUAGCCCUACCCAUUUGCAUUUUUACCAGCAGUGUAUGGUCAUUUAGUGUCUUCAUUUUCAAUCUUUUGAAUCUUAUUCCUUUUCAUAAGCCUUGCACAAUGUUAAACCAGCAUUCUAUCACUGAGCCAUAUCCUAGCCACCUGUUUUAUAUAUUUUUGUAUUCUGUCUAAUAAAUCUUUUGGCCUAUGCCAAACUAUUGAGAUUUCUUGACUUCUUCUAAAAGUCAUAUGCUACUGAGUUCUGGAGAUACAUUUGGCUUGGGUCUAUUUUAAACUAACUUUGUUUAAUAUCAAAUAAUUAUUUUUAAGUUUUAUUAGAUUCUUAGACUCCAUAUUCAAUACAAAAUAUAAAAUAUAUCUGAAUGUUGUGUUGUUUUCCAUGGCUUGACCUGUUCUGCUCUAUUACUACAUAUAGUGAGAUGUUACCUGUAAUCUAUUGGCUUGGAGAUGAUCCCCCAGGGGAUAGCUUCUACUGUCCAUCCUCUCUUUGUAGUUGUUUUUCUUUUGCGCCUCUAAAAUCAGUAUCAGUGAGAUAGAUAUCUUUGAGAAAUUGUUACAGUCACAGAUUCCUUCAACCUUUAUCUUUAUUUUUUUAACUCUUUAAAAUUUUCAUACAAUGUAUUUUGAUCAUAUUCACCUCCCAAAUUCUCAUGGAUCCAUGCCCCUUUUCACACCCACCUAACUUUGUUUCCAUACUUGCCUUUAAAUUCAUAGAGUUAAAUUUGUGUUUUCCAUUUGCUCCUACACAUGUGGCUAUCUUCUGAACCAUGGUCAACCUAGCAUGAGCCACAGCCAUACCCUCUUCUAGCAGCCAUCAAUUGCCAGUGGCUCCUCAGUGAGGGAUAGGACUUCAUGCUCCCCUCCUCUUUGGAGUAUGUUGAAUGCCAACAUGGAAGAAUUGGGAUUGAAGAUGAAGUGUAAAAUAGUGAAGAAUGUGGAUUGUACAAUAAUGUUUUCCUUAGGACAGCAACAGAUCUUACAAUGUCCUUUGGAAAUACAAUCCCAGACUUAAGGCCAUAAGGAUCCUCAUAGAAGCAGAGCUGAGGUACAGCAGAUGGGUCUCUGCAAGGACAAACAAAUGGCAGAAGAAAAGGAAGCUGUAUUUGCCCUUUGAAAGCAUGUUUAGUUAAAGGUAAAAAUCCAAAAGCAGAUAAGAAAUAACUGAAGGUCCCCAUAUUGGAGGAGCAUCCAGAAGAGCUUGAGAUCCUAAAGAUUUCCAGAAAAGAUCAAGCAGAGGGAGGAUCCAGAGAAGAGAACUACACCUGUUUCUGGAGAUUUUUUUUUUUAAACAAGCAGUGGGGGUGGGGAGGAUGGAAGAUAUGAGAGUGUGCAUCUUUCAUUGCACCUUUUACUCUUUGGCUAAUGACUCAUUAAAAUAGGUGGAGUUUUGCAAACUAUUUUAUGAUCUGAUACAUUCUGGAAAAGCAAAGUGCUUUUGUGUAGCUUUGGAGAGACAAUACAAUGAGUAGAGAAUGCCAUAAGUUGGCUAGGGAGCUUUGAGAAAAAGAGUCACUGAAGUCUACUCAGGAGUCUAGGAACAAUAAAGGAAGAAUGUUUGACAACAGAGAGGAGGGGAGAAGAUGAAAAUGGGUUUCUUGCUAAAUAAUCAGGCAUGGAUUAGAUGACUACCUUUCUGAAUAGGAUCCUUUCCUCUAUGAUUUUGAAGUCAGCAAUCCUCAGUGAUUGAUAGAUCUUUUCUUGAGGUUUUCUUCAUGUCUUCAUUUUAAGAUCUAGUCUAUUACCUUUAAGAGCUGAGUUACUCCAUGUCCCCUUUUCAUUCUUGGAAAAUAAAUUCCUUCAAGAAGUAGCAAUAUUUUUCUAAUAGUGUAUAAAACACUCUUUAAAGAGACCUAUUAUUAAUUAAUAAAGUUUAUUUUUAGAAUCUCUUUAGUUUUAUACCUCAACAGAAUGGUAUAUGCAGACAUUGUGUGUGUGUGUGUGUGUGUUUAAUGGACUAAGUCUGUUUCUGUUGAUUUUGUGUAUAUAAUUUCAGAACUUACCACUUGUUUGCACAAUCAAAAGGAGGGCUCAUCUCUGGAGCAAUUUGUCUUUCUCUCUUCAGUCAUUAGAUACCUGUAGUUUUUUGUAAUGGUAGGGCCUUGCAAAUUCCCCCCUUUGUGUUACCAUAUUCAUUGAUAUUGCCAUUGUUUCAGUCUUGUUCAUGCAUCCAUUUCUAGGAGAGAUCAUUUUGAAAGACUUCCAGGUACUCUGGUUCUUUCUAUCUGCUCUUCUGAGACAUCUCCCGAAUCACAGAUGCAAGAGCUAUGGUGUACACGUAACUAUUGGACUGGGAGCCAUUGAUCUCCACAUUUUGUCCAGUUCUACUUUUUUAUGAUGGUCUUCAUUUGGUGUCAAGAGAGGCUUCCUAAGUAAGGGAUGGUAGCUUCUCUUACCUGUGGAUACAUGAAUAAAAUUUUGAAUGUAAAAUGGAAUUGUGCUGGUCUAGUAAAGUGGUGGUAAUAGAUUCUUUUCUAAAGUCCAUUAACUCGUUAUACGCAGCAAGCUAGUUAAUUUUCCAGUUCCAGACAUGAUUUCCCUCCUGCUGAAUGGGCUGUAUGUCCAAUUAGACACCUGUUGGUUGCCACCUUGUGAACCAUGACAAUUACCACUAUGGCAAGAUAUACAUAAAAGUACUAAUUCUUUUCUCAACAACAAAAAUAAAAGGGGGCACAAGAAAAGAUGAGAGAGGGUUAGAUUAUGGCUACAAGAACACAAAUUAUAAUGGACCAUGGGUCAAUUUUGUAUUAAUUUGGCAAGUAUGUUCACUUGGAAAAAUUAAUUAAUCACCUAUAUAUGUCAGAAUGUGCUUGGGUUGAGACACAUGAGGAAGAAUGAUAAAUGUAUAUGUCCAAAGAGAUGGACCAUCUAGAUGCCUCAGAUUGAAACACUUCCCGCAAUGUUUUCCUCCCUUAUUUUUAUCCUAGUUUUUAGAAGUAAUAGGACUCAAAACUUAAACAUUUCACAAUGUCAGCUGUUUCCCUUUCAGACUAAUUUUACUGUCGCAGGUGAGUGUUGUGUAAUAGAGUCUGUCAAGAAGGAUGCUAUGCAUACUUUUCUUUAGUUUAUAACUUGUCACCAUGUUGUCUAACAACACAGAAAAGCCACUGGUUCUAAAUGUGUCAUUAAAUACCUCUGUGGGCCAACUCUAUCCACCCUCCAUUCUUUAGGUCUUUAAGCCAGUUCAGGACCUGUUCCCGUCCAGUGUAUUCUUGAGCUGUACGCUCUUCUUACCUAAUCCCCAUCUGUCUAUUCUUCUUGGGGUCUGAGGCUGGAAAAUAAUGUUCUGUUGUUCCUACCUCUCUUUUGGUAACACCUUUUAUUCAAAGGCAAUUUAUUCUGCUAUUUUUUUUUUUGGCUGCCAUGUUUCCUUAUGAAUAUGUUGAUCUUCUUGAACAUGGAUGUUCUUUAUGGCUAGUCUUUCCCCACCUACAUUUUAUAUUUCAUGAAAUAAAUAUAUUCCAAGUACAUUACCCAAAAGAAUAGCAUCAUUUGCAUUUUGUUGAACAUUUUAUUUCUUUUAUUAAUAUUAAUACUGUCUUUGACUCAUUUUUAUAGUGUCUUUUUAUACCCCUUUGGAUUUAGCACUCAAAUAAUUGUCAGUGGCUAAGUAAAUGUUAGGUAAUGCCUUUUCACGCAUUAAGAUGCAUAGCCUUUGGAUUUGGAGACUUUUACAUUAACUUUAAAAUAGGGAGUUAUUUUUGGAUGCAUUAAUAAAACCUCUCAGGCAUUAUCCUCUGUUAAUUCUCAUGCAUUCAUUUUUAUUUUAAAAAUGAGUCUGAAGAAGCUUCACUUUUGGGGAACAGGGAAUCUCAGACACUAAAAGAAAGUUACUAGAGGGUCACAGUAAUACCUCAUUUGCUUCCCCAUCCAUUGAUAUUCUUUUUGAAAAUCAUUUUUCUUUCUGAGGUAUACUGUUAUUCUCUAUAUUACAAAAGUGAGACAUUGCAGGUGCAGAGGCACGUCAUACCUAAUGCAGAGUACAGGAUCAGCAUCAUCAUAAGACAAUGGGCCAGGCAUCACAGGCUCACCUCAUCACUGUUAUUCAUGUGACACUGGUAAGACUUCUCCAAAAUGACAGACAUCAUCACCUAGCAAACAUUUAUGUUGUAAACCAGGAGAGAUACAAAGUCAAAGGUACAUGUCGUGUUUGUCAUUAUAUAUUGCAGGUAUACUAGUACUUUGUGAAUGACAGGCAAUUGGAUGUUUCUGAGAAUUUACUGUAUGAGUAGAGUUAAAAAAACUAAAUGGCAGAAAAUAAAGAGGUGAGCCAGAGAAUUAGUUGUUAACAAUAUCCUCAAGACAAUAGAAUAAUAAAGAAAUAUUGAAAAAGAUCACUCUAACAAGGAUGCAAAGGCCAGACAGUAAAUCUCUUAGGCCUCGUGGACCAUAUGUAGGCAUUACUACUUUUUCCUAUAUGCUUGUUUAUUUUCCAAGCACUCUGUAAUGGCAAAAACCUUUUGUUAGGCUGUAGAUAACCUCAAAAUCAGACCUGGAUUGGGUUUGGCCGGAAGGUUCUAGUUUCUUGCUAUAAAGCCAAAUCACUAAAUGAUCCCUGAUACAUUCACAGGGUUAUAGAUUUAAGAAAGGCAACAUUAAAAGCAGUUCCUUAGGCCAUCUCCUUGGCUAAUGUCAUUUAUAUAUGGCCCAAGACAUUAUUUCAGGGAAGAGUAGUCAUAAUGGUGCCAUUAUGUCUUUGUCAGCUCUAUUAAGGUAACACUUGUUACUUGAGGUUUUGAAAUUUUGUCAUACUGGUUUUAUGAAACAAGUUGAGAAGUGCUUCCUGUUCUUAAGUUUUCUAAAGAAGAGCUUGGGUAAGACUAGUUUGGCGAGUUUCUCUGUUGAGAAGCCAAUACCGAUUUCACAAGUCCGGUCAAGAUUAACAGUCAUAGGUAUCUACAGCCACAUCGUUCCCAAGCUCCUCUUCCCUCUGCUACCUCUUUUCUUUCCCUUCUCCUCAUUCCCACAUUCCCAUUAGGAGGUUCUUUACUCUUUAGGAUUUUUAGCUUAUCCAAUGGCUUUAGGUACAAGGACGACAAUACCCAUCAUUUUAAUUGCCUAUGUUGCAGACCUGUUCUGUGACUCAGAAUAAAUUCAGGGAAAAGAAGCUAGAAAAGAAGUUCAGCCAGGAUAGCCUUUCCCAUGCUGAGGACCUCCUCAAAGAUCUUGCUGCCCUCCUUAGUAGUCUUGCUUUUCUUACAUUUAGGAUCUCUAGGUCAGUGGUUCUCAACCUGUAGGGUGCAACCCUGUUGCAGAUAUUUACAUUAAGAUUCAUAACAGUAGGAAAAGUUAUUCUUAAGAAGGAGCAAUGGGGUUAAAUUUAUGGUUGGGGGUCAUCACAACACAAGAAACUGUAUUAAACGUGACCACAUUGGAAAGGUUGAGAGGCACCUUGAGAGGUACCUUGGAGAUUAUCAACACAUAUGUUUCUGUGCGUGUCUGGGAGGCCAUUUAAAAAGAAAAGAAAAGAAAAGACAAGAAAAGACAAGAAAAGACAAGAAAAGACUAGAAAAGACAAGAAAAGACAAGAAGAGAAAAGAAAGGAAGAGAAAAGCUAACAAAGAAAAGACCUGCACUCCAAAAGUGGGAAGCAGCAUUUUACGGAUUGAAAGCCUUUAAGGAGAGUGCCACAGACAUGUGUGUUGUCUCUGCAUCACGGCUGUCACGCGGUGAGGUUUGGCUUCCCUACAAGUCUCUCUGCCACUGUGAGGCAUGGAUGCCUCCAAGACUGAGACAAACAAACCUUUGCGUCUUCAUUCUCACAAUGCUGAAAUGUUCAGCACAGACACUUCCAUAAAGAAUAAGACAGCAGUGGGGUACCAAGAGUGACAGCUGCAUCUCUUGAAUUAUUUGAGUAUACAUUAUCAGCACAGAUAUGAUGUUUAUGCAGUCAAAUUCACUACUCUAAAUAUCUGCACAGGAUAGAAACUUAGAAAUCCAACACUGAGCAAAUAUUAAAUAUUAUAGCUCUCACUUCACCAUUUUAUAUGUCAUAUCCCAAAGUAAAAUUUGUACUUAAGUUUAUUCAAUCCUCAUUUUAGACUCACUAUGUAAUUACAAUAUGUACCACACAUAUUCACACACGCACAUAUCCUGAAAUCAUAGGCCCUAUGUGUGGAGUGUGAAUGCUAUUACAUUUUUCCAACCCCAAAUUCUAAAGCAUCAUCAAUGUUCCAUGAAAAAGAAUACAUUGGUACUUGUUUACUAAUAUUUUUGCAUUGAAUUUAACAAGGUAGAUUUACUUUAAUUCCAUUUAUUUUGGUGCAGGGGCAGAAAUACGAGUUAAACUUGGAUGGUUCUAUCCUAGUUUUAGAAAAUAUUAUAUGAAGUACAAGGUACAAGAAUGUCCAAUGCUUUGAUAAGAAUAUAAGGAUGCUGACUGUCUUAGUUAUAUUUUUCCCUUGUGAUAAAGUACUAAGACAAAAGCAGCUAAAGGAAGGUGAACCAUUUUGGCUCACAGUUCCAGGGUAGAGUCCAUCAUGUGGAUCAUGCUAUCUAGUAGCCCCUGGUACAGAAGUCGGAGCAGCGAGAGCUUGGGGCAGCUGGUCACAUCACUUCUCCAGUCAGGAAGAAAAGGGAGAUGAACUAAAGCCUGUGCUCAGGUUGCAUUCUCCACCUUUACACCCUAGAGAAUAGUGGCAUCCACAGGAGGUGGGCUUUUCCAUCUCAGUUAACCUAACCAAGAUAAUUCUGUCACAAGAAUGCCCAGAGGGCCCCCAUCUCCCAGGCAGCUCUAAAUCUUACAAAAUCGAUGGUUAUUAACCAUCACAGUAACGAAACCAAGAAAACAACGAAUGGCACAAUUUAUGUGAAAUUUAUAAGAAUUGAUGAUGGUUAUAGUGUUGGAAGUAACCAUACUGGUUAUUUAAAUGUAUGUUUUAAACAAACUAAUUAAAAUGUGGAAAUUUAAUACAGGAGCAAGUUUUAUUUAAAAAAAAAAAAAAGAGUACUUUCCCUGCAUCUUCCUGUUUUAAAGACAAAUGUCUUUUAAAUAAGCAUCGUUCGCAUUUUUUUCUCCCUGUAAAAUUUGUGCAAUAUAAUACUCUAGUUCCUAUGUAUGUAUGUAUGUAUGUAUGUAUGUAACAGAGGAACUCCAGUUCCUAUGUAUGUAUGUAUGUAUGUAUGUAUGUAUGUAUGUAACAGAGGAACUAGAGUUCCUCUGUUUCAUUUAGUUCAGAGUUCUCUUUUGCCUGUCAAUCCUGAAGCUAGUCUCAUCUAAUACUUUAGUCAUAUGGAUAAUACUUAGUGAAUGCCAAACAGUAUUGCAGGUAGUGGAGAUGUGGUGAUGGUAUGGGGAUUGGGAGACAUCUUGACUCAAAUAAAAUAAGCAAAUAAUCAAAACCUUCCCAUAGAAACUGGUCUGUCUUUAGGAAUCAAGCUGGACUAAGUGAUAGAGGUUAGGCUAAGGAUCCUGAGACAAAACUCAUUGAACAGAUCAUAGUUUACCUCUAUGUUAGCUUUUCUUCAAGACUCUUAAAAGUAAAGGGGUCAACAUGAAAAAUGCUGUAAAGCACACACACACUUGGGGUAUCAGGAAAAUGGAAGGAAGUCUGGGUGGGGAGAGUGGAGGUAGGGACUGAAUCCAAGACCUAGUGCACGCCAGGCAGGCCUUCUAUUAUUGAUAUGUUUUCCCAGUCCUUUCCUAUCUCAUUUUUAAACAUGAAUGUCAAAGCCAAUACUGCCUGUAACAUCAUUCCUAACUGUUCAGGUAUUAGAUAUCACUCUCCGUGUUUACACACUCACUCAUUCAUUCUUUGAAACUCAAGCAUGCAUUGAAAUUUGUUCUUGUACCAGGCAGUGUGCUAAGCACGAGAAAUGUGAAGAAGAUAAGACACUGAAUAUGCUUUUCAAAAUCCCAGUAUUUACUGAUGAAGAAUAAUGAUAAAACUACCAUUUAGUACUCAUGUAUUCUAGCAGAUAUUAACAAAUAAGCAUAGUAAAAUUGAAACAUGCUGUUUGACAGCACAGUGGAGAUAAACCCCAUCUCUAUCAACUUGAGUAGUGUUUCAAAAGAGCAGAUAGGUUGCCCAAUCUGAGCCUCUGAGCUUAGUUUGUUUCACAGUAUUUCAUAGCAGUCCUUAUAGAUUAUGUAGCCCUGGGGAGGGAAAGGCUUAGUCCAUCUGAUCAGUUCUAGGGACUUCCUGAAGCCUUUGCGUUGUUUACUUCUUGGUAUUAAGGGUCUUCCCUCCAGGAUAGAAACUUUACCUCCUUAGAAAGAAAUAUCUUGGAGCUUCCUCUAAGAUGGACUGUAUCAACUCUGAGGAAAUUUCUCUACAGUGAAGGGAAAGUGUAGAUGGUUGCUAUGUGGCAGUUAGAAGGGUAGUUUUGGGUAUGGAGAACAAGAACAUAAUGAUGAGGUUGUUGGAUAAUACAAAUAGAUGGUGAAGUAUAUUUAGGACAGCAGAAGGAAUGACAAGAAGCACUGGAUAUAAGAAACAACUCUGCCCCAAAAAACAACCAGGAUAGGUGACCAAAUGGAUGUGAAGCAUAUGGAGAAAGGAAGCCUUGGUAGGGCUGCUUGGAUGCUACUUUGACUAAAAUAGAAGACAGAGGAAGAUGACCACAGUCAAAGGAAGGAAAACUAUUUCUGUGCUGAGUGGAUUAUGCUGGAAGUCUCACAAUACACUUAGACACUUAUUUCACUGAUUCAGUUUACAGCUCAGAGGGUCUCUGGCAGCUGCUGAAGAAUGCCCUAUGGGCUGAGGAUCCUGGAUAUAAGGGUGGCUUAGCUUACUAGGUCGAAUGUUGGCCAGAAGAGCUCAGAAUCAUGCAUUUCACUUCCCCAUAUGCUCCUUAGCAUCCAUCGUGCAUGUGUUUUGUCCCUAGCAGGUGCUGACUUAGUUUAUUUUGUACUUCUCUAACAGACAAUCAAAUAUUGGGUACAUUGCAAAGAAUAGAAACUAAUUUAGGUUAUUGUUCUGAAGUCUAGCUUCUGGCAAGGGCCUCCAUACUGCCUAACAUGGCCAUGGUGGGAUGGUAAGUGAAUAUGAGAAUAGAGGGAGAGGGAAGGAGAGUAGAACUGAAGAAUAGAAGAAGCAGGGGGAGAGAGAAGGAGAACCAACCCACUCUCACAAUAGAUAGUCCACUCCCAAGCAGCUGCAUGAAUCCUUUGAGAGCCAGGGACUCUUAGCAUCUAGUCUCUUAAUGGCCUCACUUCUUAAUACUAUUAAAAUGACAACUAAAUUUCAACAUGGGUUUUGGGAAGGACUUCAAAUCAUAGCAAGUAUUCAAUAAUAUGGGGAGAAGAACAAAUAUGUGGAGUUUUAGCAUGACUGAGCCCGUCUCACAAGAUUAACUGAUCCUUACAGCCUAGAUAUUCCACAGAGCAGUAAGUAAACUCAGUGCAUCAUGCAUCUCUCUGUGAGCUAGGAUAUUGUCUUGGGAGAAACCCAUUCCUAGAGUGGAGUUCUGAGUAGGACUUUGUAUUUUUCUUAAAUUAACUCUGCAGUUUAUUUUGUUAUAUUUGUAUUUUAUUUAAUUUAAAAAGCUUACAUGUUUUAAUCAUGUUCAUCCCUUCCACUGAGUUUUUAUAGAUCUUCUCCUCCUCCUUACCCACUCACAUUUAAGUUCUUUUCAACAACAACAACAACAACAACAACAACAAUCCCCCAAAACCCAAUACAACAACUUUCCCUAACCAAGAAAACAAAAUAAAACCAAACUUAAAACAAAGCAAGACAAAAAAAAAAAAAAAAAAAAUCAAAAAAAAAAAAACCACCCCCAAAACCUGUGGACUCCAUUAUAUAUUGAUCAAUUACUCCUGACCCUGAGGCCAGUCCUGGAAUGGUUGAUAUAGCCAGUGUCAUAUCAUUGAUAAGAACUCAUUUUCCCUCUCCUAGUAGGUAUAAACAACGGUUCAGUUGUUAGCGUUUACCCUCGUGGCUAGGUUUUCAUUCAUUAACCAAUUGAUUCAUUUUUAAAAAAAAAAUUUUUAACAAAUUAAAUAUAGUAAGAUAUAACAAAAACUAUCACAUUGAAAUUAGACAUGGCAAACCAAUAAAAAAAAAAGAGCCUAAAAGAAGGAAAGAAUCAGAGAUUCACUUUUUCACACACUCAGGAAUCCCACAAAGCACUACAUUGGAAUCUAUAAUAUAGACACAGAGGCCCUGGUACUUGCUGCCCCAGUCUCUGAGUUUAUGUGAGGUUUGCUCAUGUUGAUUUAGAGGGUCUAGUUUUCUUGAGGUCCUCCAUUCCCUUUGGCUCUUACACUCUUUCUUCGUCCUGAGCUGUGAGGAGAUGGUUUUGAUGGAGACAUUCCAUCUUGUGCUAAGUGUUCCAGUGCCUGUCUGUAGGUCUCUAAUGUCUUUCUGGGUCUGGGAUACCUCUCCUAGGAUGAUUUUUUCUAGUUCUAUCCAUUUGCCUGCAAAUUUCAUGGUGCCACAUUUUUUAAAUGACAGAGUAAUACUCCAUUAUGUAAAUGUACAUAUUUUCUGUAUCUAUUCUAUUGAGGGACAUUUAGGUUGUUUUCAAUUUCUGGUCAUUACGAAUAGGGCAGAAUGAACAUGGUUGAGCAGAUAGAAUGAGGCAUCUUUAAGGGGCAUGCCUCAACAUAGUAAAGGCAGUUUACAGCAAUCUCAUAGCCAACAUUAACUUAAAUAGAGAGAAAUUCAAAGCAAUUUCAUUAAAACCAGGAACAAGACAAGGUUGUCCACUCUCUUGAUACAACCUCAAGUACUAUAUUAUAUCAAGCACAAUAAGACAACAGAAGGAGAUCAAAGAAAUUUGAAAGGAUGAAGUCAAAGUAUCUUUAUUUAUAGAUGAUAUAAUAGUAUACAUAAGUGAUCCAAAAAAUCCCACCAAGGAACUCCUCCAGCUGAUAAACUCUUUCAGCAAAACAGCUAGAUACAAAAUUAACUCACGAAAGUCAGUAGUCCUCCUAUAUACACAGGACAAACAAUCUGAGAAAAAAAAUCAGGGAGACACUUGCCUCAAAAAACUAUCUUGAGGUUUCUCCAACCAAGCAAGUGUAAGGCAUGUGUGAUUAAAAACUGCAGUUUAUGCAGCAGAUGGCAAUGUAAGGAUAGCAUUUGGGGAAUGUAAAUGGAACCUUUUUAAGAUUCUGGAUAAAAGUGAGAGGAAAGGACCUAACCUAUUUUAUUUUCAACUCUUACCUGGGAUCCAGAGCUAUAUCUACAAUAUUAAAUGUUAAUAAACAUUUGAAAGAUGAUGAGUGGAAUAAUAUAGAUUUUUUUGUGUGUGUUUAUAAUUCACUGGGUAAUUCUGUGACACGCAGUGUUAGGCAUGUUCCCUCUCUGUCUUCUGCCUCUCAAAGCAAUCUGAAUAUUUGUACUCAAGCACUUUCAGGACAUUCAACUUUCUGCCCUUUGUCAACUUUUCUAGAUAGGCAACCUAAAAAGCUAAGAUCCUUUGUUCACAUCUACAAGAGGAAAGAAAAAUUUUUCCUUUUGCAGCUCCUGCCAGAGUUGGUUUUAAAUCAGGAGUUUUAGCAGAAUCUGAUUUUGUCUAUUGUCUGUUCAGGAUGAGUCUCAUUCAGGUUUCGAUGAUUACUCAUGAAGGAGGGCAGAAAUGGUUUCUUAAUUGACCAGAAUGGAGUGAAUUGGUGGCACUUUAAGAUGCCAGAAUAGUUCCUGCAGGUAUCCUUAGUAACACCUGCUAUGAUGUGAAGAAAGUCCCUGUUCAGCCACAAAGCAAGUGGCUACUAGCCUCAUCUCUUUUAUCUCAAUUUUUUUUUUUUUUUGCUUCAUUGAUUCUUUUUUUUCCCCCAAUUUUUUAUUAGGUAUUUUCUUCAUGUACAUUUCAAAUGCUAUCCCAAAAGUCCCCCAUACCGCCCCCCUCACCUGCUGCUCUCCUACCCACCCACUCCCACUUCUUGGCCCUGGUGUUCCCCUGUACUGGGGCAUAUAAAGUUUGCAAGGCCAAGGGGCCUCUCUUCCCAAUGAUGGCCGACUAGGCCAUAUUCUGCUACAUAUGCAGCUAGAGACACGAGCUCUGGGGGCACUGGUUAGUUCAAAUUGUUGUUCCACCUAUAGGGUUGCAGACCCCUUUAGCUCCCUGGGUACUUUCUCUAGCUCCUCCGUUGGGGGCCCUGUGUUCCAUCCAAUAGCUGACCAUGAACAUCCACUUCUGUGUGGAAUGGAUUAUCUCAAUCUUUAUCCUCUGUGUUUGCAUGAUGCUUCCAUGGAGAAAAUAGAGAUGAUACAUUCUCCUGGUGACUCCUGUCUUCACCCUAGCCUUGCCUCUGCCCUUGAGCCCUCCUUCCUGGCUUCCCCACCUCCCACCUUCUACACUUCCUCCUGUUUCUCUGGAUUUAUUAAUCUGUAACAUGUGCUUGAAGUCCAUCUCCAGGAACAUUCCAUUUGACUAGGAGAGAGUAUGUUGCAACUCACAUAGGUUCCAGGUCCAAGUUUCCAUUUCUCCCCGAGUCCUUUAACAUGUCUAGAUGCAGGCACCAGUCAGUCUCAUUGGUUCAAGCACACACAGCUGAAGAGUACAAAUAUUUACCAAUUAGCAGUCAGAAUAAGGUAGAAUAGCCAGUCCUGUGGCUUUGAACAACUGUACUUCAUGGUUGCACUUAGGUCAUUCUGCUUCUGCCCAGACUGUUCUCCCAGGUCCAUGUUCUUUGCAACUUGCCUAUUUUCUUUUUCAGCCCUUGGUCAAGAAUAUAAAUUCAGCUCUUUGUCUGCAAACCAUCACACUUCUAAUUUAGGAAAUGUGGGAGAGAAUGAGACAAUAUCUAUGACAGAAAUUCCUGAGGUCUCUUCAUACAGUAAUUAUAUUAUAUAGCUUAGUACAUGUAAUGUUUUAACCAUGUAAUAGUAUAAAAUAUAUUUUAAAUAAACACUGUAAGACUAAAUCAUGCAUAUACAAGUAGGUGUGAGAAAAUUUCAAGAAAAAGUUAAAUUAUUAUAUACUAUAUUAUUUCCCCAUAAAUGUAAAAUGUGAACUAUCUGAAAUUUCUCUUUGCUUGGCAGAUUUAUUCUUGAAUAGUUUGCCUUGUUUUGGGGCAUGAUGGCUACAUCUCUCAUUCCAGCACUUGGGAAGUAGAGGAAGGUAGACGUCUGUAAGUUUAAAGCUAGCCUGAUCUACAUAGUGAGUUGCAGACCAGCCAGGGGCACAUAGGGAGAUAUGGUCUCAAAAAUCAAAACAAAAAAGAGAGAUAAGAGGAAAUAACUAUUGAAAUCAUGUUCUGGCAUUUUAUCUUCUGCCAAAGGCCUCAUCCUUCCUAAUGGAGUAAUGUUUGAAAUAAACAAAGGAAUCUGCAGAAAUGCAUCACUGGAGAAGUUUGCAGCCAGUCAGGCAACACAGUGAUACCUUUUUGUUUCAAAAAGAGAGACAGAAAGGAAUAAAGGGAAAAUUAUUAAGAAAGGACUUAGAUAUACUUUGCAACUGGAAAUGAGAGAACUUUUAAGAUUGUGUUCCUAAGCUAGUAGCCACAAAUACAGCACAGAAGUCAUUUAAGUUCAGAUGGAGUUCCCUAGAUAAAUGGUCUUCACAGGGGGAGGAGUCUCAAGGGCAUAGCCUACAGUAUGGCUUCAGGAGGCUCUGGAUGGAUGUUUGUUCAGUGAAUUGAACUGUCCCAGAAGCUCUGAUCUUUACUGCAGAGCACUGACUGACAACAGCAGUUUGUCUUAGUUUCAUUUGGUUUCUUGAGACAGACUUUCAUUAAGGACUCCAGGCUGUUCAGGAAUUCAAUACGUAGCCAUGGCUGGCCUGAACUCACUAUGUGCACCCAUGAUGGCCUCUAAUUCAAUGGCAGUCUUCCUAACUCAGUCACUCGAAUGUUGGAAUUACAGUGUAAGCCACCAUGUCAGGUUCAGCCUUUAUUUCUAAAUGAGUUUUACCUCUCCCCCCCCCCCCCCCCCCGCCUCAGUCACAUACUUUCAGAGAGGUGCAGCUGAUUCUCACAUCUUUGAGAUUUACUGAGGUGAUCUACUGCCUGAGAGCCUGUAUGUUAAUGAGCUUCUAGAGGAGUAUGAUGGAAGAGAUGACCAAAUUCUUGGAGCCUAUCUCAGAAGCUUUGAUACAUCAGCGGGGGGGGGGGGGGGGGGGAGUCAGAGCUCACUUUUGGGUUUCAAAAACCCACCAAUUCUUGAUCUUGAAAACCCACAGAUCCUGGAGCUUGAAAUCCUACCAAUCCUUCAGCUUGCCUCAAGCUUAGAAAUUGAAAUCUUGCCCAUCCUCACCCUGGAAAUUUCCUCCCUGGCAAACUUUUCCUCCAAAACAUUCGAUAUAAGCCUACUUCCCACCUAGUUCUCUGCUCCUUAUCACCCAAGCCGAGGCAGCCACCCUCUUGUGUCUUUCCAAAUAACUCUCUGGUGUGAGGCUUGUUGUGCAGCAUGAGUUUGUGGUGAACCUUGGCUCCUGAUGGCCAGGAUACCUUCCUCUUCUGAGCUGUAACAUUUGAAACACUUGCAAUGCAGAAACCUUUCCCCUUCAGAGCUGUAAGACAACAUCACAUCUUAUCAUUGCUUUUAGAUGAUGCCAACGCAUUUAUUGCUUUUAUUGUAGGGAAAGGAGAAGGAGUUCAUACUAUUUUUUCAUGAUUUGUCUAGUUAUUUUUUGACAUUGUUAUUACCUGUUUUCCUAGAUAUUAGUUAUCCCUGAGUUGAAGAUAAAACAAAAGUGAAGAGGAAAGUGGGUGGACAGGUGGAAUACAGGGAAUACUUUCAUGUAGUUGUGGUUCAGUCAGAUGGCUAAAAACCUGCUAUGUUAGGAAAGUACUCCCAUUACUUACAGCCAAUUGGCUAAAAUGCACAGGCGUCUAAAGAAAUGUGUGAUCAGUCUUAGAAAAUAGCUCAGGGAUCUUUUUCUUCUACAGAAUGAGUUGGCUUUGUAAAUCUUGACAUAUUUUAAACUAAACUCAAUUAAACUAAACUCAUGCCUUUUCAUUUAGUCCUCAUUACUAAAACAAUUUUUACUCUAGUCUCAUCCUAGCUCUAGCCCUACUCAAAUAGCAACAGUAUCAUUUCAUCAAUAAGAAUGGGAUGGUGACCAAAAAUUCAUGAUGCUGUGAAGCCAAUGUUAGUUCUAUUCUUGAGAUUACAUUUCUUUUUCUUUCUUUCUUUUUUUAACUCUAAUCUCUUUACAAAGACUUUGUAUCCACUUCUCAGUCUCUGCUCUCCAGAUUCCUAGGCUGUUUCCUGGUCUCACUGCUUCUUCUCUCUGGCUGGUGAAACAAUGUCUCCCUUACCCUCUGCUCCUCAGCACUGCAUGGCUUUAGAGGAUGUGAGGGGUAUGAGGUGUUCAUACGGUUAAUACUAACCACAUUUGAAUGACGACACUCCCAAGGACUCUCAGGUCUUAUCCACUUGAAAUGCCCACGUUGAGGAAGACAGAAUCGGUGAUGCACAGAAACAGGUGGGAAAGGCCACCUAGGCUCUCUUGCCCCAGACUAUGUACCUCUGAAAGAACCAGCUAUUUUAGAGUUUUAGAUUUUAGGAAGGAUGAGCUGUGCAUUCUAACUGGGCAACGUUUUGUCCUUGUUUGCAUUUGGUAACCUGAAGGUCUUUUGGAUGGACCCUGUGGACUGCAGGCAAGUACUUAUUAACACUUCAGUGUUAAUGCUGGAAUCUGAUGGAGUCACUGAUUGGCAUUUGCUGACCUGGAGAGAGGAUAAUGGCUGUCCAAAGCUUAUUCCAAGAGAGUAGAAUGUGGGUUUAGGGAGGUUAUUUAAAAGCUAAUGAUAGGAGAGAGAGAGAGAGAGAGAGAGAGAGAGAGAGAGAGAGAGAGAGAGAGAGAGACAGAGAGACAGAGAGACACAGAGAGACACAGAGAGAGACACAGAGAGAGAGACAGAGAGGGACAGAGAGAGAGACAGAGAGAAGCAGAGAGAGAGAGACAGAGAGAGAGGAGAGGAGAGGAGAGGAGAGGAGAGGAGAGGAGAGGAGAGGAGAGGAGAGGAGAGGAGAGGAGAGGAGAGGAGAGGAGAGGAGAGGAGAGAGAGAAGAGAAGAGAAGAGAAGAGAAGAGAAGAGAAGAGAAGAGAAGAGAAGAGAAGAGAAGAGAAGAGAAGAGAAGAGAAGAGAAGAGAAGAGAAGAAGAAAAUAUGAAUGCGACUAGGGCGAGGUAUUAGAGAACAUGAAUUAAGUCCCUAGGUUUGGGUGGCACUUGAGACCUGCCCUUAGACUACUCUCAGCAUUCUGAGGAGCUAGGAGGUGGGGGAUGUAUCUGUGGUUAGGAAGCUGCCUGAGGUUUGGGUUAUAAAGAAUAGCGAUUUGAAGCUUCAGUAGGUAGCAGCAAGAAGCCCAGAAGAUCAAUGGCAGACACAACUCACUAUUUGCCUUUUUAAAGGAGGUUAGGAAUUUCAUCCAUGGGGGAAUUUUCUUGGCCUUAUAUUGACAAUUAAGUCAAUUAAAAAAAA